rnacentral:misc_RNA from 1 species
AAGUCGUAACAAGGUUUCCGUAGGUGAACCUGCGGAAGGAUCAUUACCGAGUGGCGCGAAAUUCCUGUCGUGAGACGGGGAAGCUACCCGACCUUUUGUCAUUUUGUCGAGUCUGGCUGGCGGGAUUGCAUUCGUGAGAAGCGAAUGUGGAUUUCGGCAGACGGACCAAAACCUCGGCGGAAGAGGUAGGCGUUGACCUGCCCGCCGCCGGCCGUAGAAGACAAUACACAUUCUUGAGAGCAAACUGAAGUCUAAGACGAUACUUGAAAAAGAAAUAGUAAAAAAGCAAAACUUUCAACAACGGAUCUCUUGGCUCUG